GAUGAACGCUGACAGAAUGCUUAACACAUCAGCAAUGGAUUGGUGGCGGACGGGUGAGUAACGCGUAAAGAACUUGCCUCACAGCUAGGGACAACAUUUAGAAUUGAAUGCUAAUAUCUUAUACUGUGAGAGAGCUUUCCGUCAAAUUAGCUAGUUGGAGUGGUAACAGCUCACCAAGGCGAGGAUGGGUAGCCAGCCUGUGAGGGUGACAGGGCACAAGGGGACUGAGGCGCCGGCCUUACUCCUACGGGAGGCAGCAGUGCGAAAUAGUGGACAAUGGGCCGAAGUAUGAUCCAGGAAUUCUGGGUGCAAAAUGAAGUUUUCGGAAUGUAAAGUGCUUUCAGUUGAGAAGCGGUACCAACAGAAGAAGUGACGGCUAAAUACGUGCCAGCAGCCGCGGUAAUAC
rnacentral:rRNA from 1 species